GCCGGAGUGGUGAAAUUGGCAGACACGCUAUCUUGAGGGGGUAGUCCUCGCAAGAGGGUGCGGGUUCGAGUCCCGCCUCCGGCA
rfam:Hydrogenobaculum sp. Y04AAS1, complete genome.